AUCGCUUCUCGGCCUUUUGGCUAAGAUCAAGUGUAAACUUAAUAGCCUCUAUUUGUGUAAGUUUGGUAUACCUUCUGGAAUCCAUUAUUGUACAUAACAAUACCAGUUUUUUUUUAGCUAUAAAAUUGUUA
rnacentral:snRNA from 1 species